rnacentral:pre_miRNA from 1 species
GAUAUACUCCCUCCGUUCCAAAAUAGAUGACUCAACUUUGUAUUAAAGUUAGUACAAAGUUGAGUCAUCUAUUUUGGAACGGAGGGAGUAUAAA